GUUAAAAAAUGUGAUUUAGUUCCCCGGCUGAGCUGGUGUCGAGUCCAUCUUUUCUUCUGCUGGCAUCUUGGCAUCCUGCUCUGUUCCUGCAGAGGUGUUGGGAGGAGGAGGAGGCGCUCAGCUGACUGGAGGCUUCAUUCACAAAGCCAAGCACGGCGAUAUGGGAGCUCAUUUCCGCCACGUCAGAGAAAAACGCUCAAAGAAAGUAAUCCUCAGGUGUCAGCAGGAGGAGGUGACCACCUGCAUAACGGAGCACCCUGGUUCUGAGCCAGUUGCACCUUUGUGCAGCUCUUUGGGGAGACGAUGAUCAGCAGACACAUGCCUCCGUGUGGUCAGGUGGUGUUGGUGUGAUCUGGGAGGGCACACUCAUGUCGUCAUCUCCUUGUGCCGUCUCCAGGAUCAUGAUGGGAGAUCUCUGUGCCUGUAAAGCAGGGGUAUUUACUUCUGGGCCUGGAGGGGCGGUAUCCAGCACGUUUUAAUUUUAACUCUGUUUCAACACACCUGAUUUCAGUCAGCAGAUAAUUAACAGGCUUCUGCAGAGCUGCUGCACAGGUAAUUCAACCACUGAUUCAAGUGUGUUGGAGCAGGGAAACAAAUAAAACGUGCUGGAUACCAGCCAUCCAGGACUAGAAUUGAAUACCCCUGCUAUAAAGCCUUCCUCCCUCCUCUGGACUUUAAACAUUAGUAUUUUAUAAUGGUUCACCUGAUUUAGUAAAUAAAUCUCAAUUUAUAAAUUUCCUGUUUUGGUGCCUGUCCAUAAAAUCCUGCAUUAGACACUGAAAGCUGAAUGGAUGCCUUUCAUUCACGUUGGCAUUCAAUGUAUUUUUUAAGAUACACUUGAA